rnacentral:rRNA from 1 species
CCUACGGGAGGCAGCAGUGGGGAAUAUUGCACAAUGGACGAAAGUCUGAUGCAGCAACGCCGCGUGGAGGAUGACACAUUUCGGUGCGUAAACUCCUUUUAUAUAAGAAGAUAAUGACGGUAUUAUAUGAAUAAGCACCGGCUAACUCCGUGCCAGCAGCCGCGGUAAU